AAGUAAUUCAUAAAUUCCCUAACCGGGAUUUUAAAGGCUUCAAAGAGGCCCAUGUCUUCAAACAGUCUGUAUGAUACCUGAAAAGGGGGAGACAAGACCUUGUAAGACAUCACUCAUUAUGCAAGAGAUGGUAAAGGGUCUUAAGAAAAUGAACAAAGGAGACGGACAUUGUGGAAAAAGUGAAUGACAUUGUACACACUAAUGUUUGAAAAAAAAAAUGAGCCAACAUGAUCUGUGGACAACCAAGAUGAUGGAAGUUUCCAGAGAAGUGAGUGGUGGCCCACCCAGAGAUUGGUAUAAUAGGAGAAUCUUUUUCUUUAUUUUCUCAACAAUUUGACUACUUCACAAGUCAAAAGGCCCCAAAACAAGAGGAUCAAGGAACCACUCAAGCUGUAAGCAGAAGUAGACCAUUUCUUCUUGAUCUCAGGUAUCCUGCCACAGUGAUGACACAAGGAAUUUACAGACAAG